rnacentral:lncRNA from 1 species
ACUCUUCAGAAGGCCCUGGAAGAGGCUUCUCAACAUUCGAUUCCUGGUUAGUUACACUGACUAGGUCAGAUACCACCUCACACUUUCGCUUUUCCAUCUCAGCCUCUUGAGUAGCCACAGUGCCACCUUCAGGAGGACCACUCUUUAGAGAUAGUAUAUCAUCCAGUGUGACUGUGUCUCCCCCAGCCUCAGCACUGUUUGCAGAUGCACUCCUCCUAAUAUUUGGAGAUGUGAUCUUCUGAACUAUAGCUUCCAAUUUUAAUCCCCGUCCCUUCCGUGGGGGCAGUAUUUUGGUCUUAGCAGGACUUGUCAGGGUAACAGCAGGACAGUUUCUAUUGUCUGGGUUUGGAAGGUCCUUGGAGGAAUCUCUCUUAGGAAUAGACUUGAUAUCCUGACUGUGAGAAAGAUGGCUGUAGGAAUUGUAUGCUUUAUCGGCACCUUCUUUUGAUGGGUGGAGGAGGCGCCCUUUAUCAUCAGCGUUACUGUUUUUUACAUCUUGUGACUGUCUCUUACUGGGAAUAGGGGAGAUAAAAGAACGAACCCGCCUUCGCAUGAUUAAAGGAUUUUGAGAAGAAUGAUCCUCUUGACCAGGAAGCCGUAACAUGACGUUACUAGGUUUGGAUGACUGUGCAGACUCGGCUAGUCCAUGUCCAUCUGGCUCAUGGGGUGGCCCAUACCGUUUUUGAUUAGACAUUCCUGGAGGACCACUGCUUUUGGCUGGAGAAGUCUGCCGAGAAAGAUCCCAACAAGACUCUUGUAACUUCUGAGAGCUGUGCUUCAAUUCCAUGCUUUUGGCAGGCAGACCAUCACUAGACAUGAGACAGCGCCCAGCUUCCUGAGUGCUUGGGUCAUGAUACGUACCUACUGGUGGGCCAUACAUCAUUCCGUCUUUGUCAUUUUUCAGGGGGCUCCGUACUCUGUCAAGAAACUGCUGCUGCCUUGGGCUCUUGCGUGGGCCUUCCUGCCUAUGCUGCGCAGCAGCGAUCACUCCCUGAGCAGAACUGCUGGCCCAGUCUUUAUACUCCUCUUGUUGCUGUUGGUACAUCUGUCUCUUAUAAUGGAGCUGGGAAUUCAAACCGGUAUUAGGGUCCCCAUAAGCAUGAGCCCUGGUGUUUGUGUGGUAAGCAGAGGCCAGGCUUUCUGAGUUGGGAGAAAAAGGAGCAUGUAAAGAACUCCUAUUGGCCCUCUCUGAAAAGGUCAUAUGUGGGUUCAUGUGAUGAGGGUCUCCCCCUGGGCCUCUGCUCCUGCCUGGAGACAUCUUCAAUUUUUCUGCAAAGUCAUGGUACUGAGAAGAGGACCGACCCCUCAUAGUCUCCCGGCUACCAACUCUACCAGGGACCCGCCGCAUUGGUGUGGACCUGCUAUCUUGUGGGCCAUAGUCUGAAAUGGAAUCAUGGGCUGCUGCUCCAGGACUUGCAUUGCCACGGUAAGUCUCAUGUUUGAUGCUGGUAGGAUGGCAGUGGUCUCCAGAUUUCUUGUUGAAACUAGCUUGAGAUUUGGAUUGUUCAAAGUCUUCCUCUUUUAUCUGUCCACUCUGGGAUUUCAAUUUUGUUUCCAUGGACACCAACCCACCAGGAAGAAUGACUGACUGACUUAAACUUGGGUUGAGACGUUCAUUCCUCCCAAUUCUGGCAUCAGUACCCAUGUGUCCCAAUGAGUGAGCCCCUGGGUCCCUGACAAUCUGUCUUAGUGGGGAUAUAUCACAGAUUACUGACCUCCUUUCAGAAAGGGAGCCUCCAGGCUCAUGGGCUGAUGAUGGAGGUUCUAUCUCAAACUUCCUGGGAAUGGGAUAGUCAGACAAAUUGAUCUGUUUCAUUUCAGGAGCUGUGCUGCUUGACUUCCUUUCCCAUGGUCCCCAGUGGGGAUUUUCCAACAGGGAUCCAAUACUCUUGUUCAGAAGGCCCCUGCUAGCUAAUUCAUUGGUUUGACUGACUAAGAUGUUAGGCCUUGCAGUUCCUUCCAGGCCACUAGCCAUCCCUUGAUGUUCCUGUGCGCUUCUAGGAUACCUUCUGUCAGGAUGGUGGUGGUAGCCCUGAAGCACUUCCUGUAGAAGACUUGGGAACUUCUCAUUUCUACCCUUUCGCUCUCCAUGGCUGCCAAAAUCCCCCUUUUCUUGUCCUGAAGGAUACUGAGGAUAACCACUGACAUUUCGUGGUACAGCUGACCCAAAACUCUCUUUGUAACUAUAGCGCAAACUUCCAGGAGACUUGCUAGGCUCAGUCCUGCCUGUGAAACUUGGGCCUACUGCGGAGUGGCUACUCGGGCCAUUCCCCUCUCCAUUGUGGUUAGAGCUAUUAUUAUCACCAUUCUUGUUUCCUUUGCUCCCUCCUCCUGGAGGAUCUGGCUGUGGAAGUGAUGUGUGGCUGAUUUCCUUUACGCCACUAUUGCUAGGUGGUCUCUGACUGGCAGCAGGAUCAUCCUCCUGGGAGCCUUUAUCUUGUCCACCAGAUUUUUCUACCCGACCUGUCAUGGCUUCUCGGGAGACAAUCACCCCAACUGUCUUCUCAUUGACUUUUGUGUUCCCCUCAGAUGACAGUGAUGUGUCCUUAGCACCUGGAGAGGCAGCUUCGUCCCUAGUUGCAGGACUGGUACUGAGCCUAGGGGCCUCAUUCUGAGCACCUUGUGUUGGUGAGGAGCCAGCUUUCUCUGAAGCGCCACACUUAUAGGUGGUGUCAGAGCUAGUGCUCUGGCCACUCAGUUGCCUCACCCUCUCACCUUGAUCUUCUGAACUACUAGAGCAACCUCCAUCCAAUGACUCAGCCAUAGGGGACUUUAGUUGUUCUUCAGGCUGUGAGGAGCCUUCUGAGUUUGUACAGCUAUCUGCUUUCUUAGAUGAUGAUGAGGGCCUCUUAGACGUCUUCUUCUGAGGUGUCAAAGCAUCAGAAAGUAACAUGUGCUGGACAGUAUUAGGAAGAUUGGCCACUUGACUACUCAAAGCACUCAAACUACUCAACCCAGGAUCAGUCAGCCGCUUUUCCGGCACCCCUUCUAAUCCAAAUCCUUUGAAUCCUGCAGCAUGAGAGUUAGGACUGGGCAUCAUUGAUGGAGUUGGACUGAGCUGGGGCAUUAGCUGUAAAAUUCGGUUUCUGGAACUCAUGGGCACAUUGCCUUGCCCACACUGGAGAUUCUCACCACUCUGCAUGAGAGGAGAAGGUGUAGAGCUACAGCUUGGAGACUGAACCACAGAAGCAGCUGGAGAAGGGUUAGAAAUAGGGCUGAAAUUCUGGUGGAACUGCAUGGGAGACCUUACAGGAACCUCAGGCUGGUUGUACUGCCCAACCUGGCUUUGCAGAGGCAUCUUGGUGGCAGCAUUUGUGUACUGCAUCACAUGCUGGGGAGGAUGUUGCUGCUGCUGCUGCUGUUGCUGCUGUUGCUGCGGCUGCUGUUGCUGAGGUUGUGGUUGCUGCUGUUGCUGCUGCUGCCCCUGCUGGUUUCCUGGUGGAAUCUUUGCCUGUUCAAAAUUUUUCAUAGACUGAGGUUGAUAGCUAUAAUUUGAUUGUGUUCCAUAAGCCUGUGCAUUAGAACCCACAUUAUGCCCUUCAUACUGAGAUCCAGCAUUCACACUGUAACUGCCAUCAUAGCUUUGUCCAGACUGACUGAAACGCUGUGGAGAAGGGAAGGAGGAGGAGGAAGAGGAGGAAGCAGAAGACUGGUAGUGCUGUCCAAACUGACCUACUCUUAACUGAUAACCAGCAGAAGAUGGCAGAGUUGAGGGCCGCUGCAUUGGUUGUAGAUGCGAUGAGCCAGAGGCUGGCUGUCCAGUGGUUUGUGGCAGAGGCUGAUGGGAUUGGUAAAGCUGUUGUCUCAACUGCUGUACUUGCUGCUGCUGUUGCUGCUGCUGCUGCUGUUGCUGCUGCUGCUGCUGCUGCUGUUGUUGGCUAGAGGCCUGCUGUUGAUACUGAGCACUCCCAGGAGAGAAAGGCCCUGUGUAAUCCUGCUGAUAAUGAGACACACCACCAAGGGCAGAGUGCUGUGCUUGAAAUUGGCUCACAUGACCCUCACUCGCAUACUGAUUGCCAAAGCUGCUCCCCUGGGGAGGUCCAUAGCUCUGUACAGGCCCAGAAGGCCUUCGCUGAGGAGGCUGUGGGGUUCCUGCUGCCACUGUGUCUUUGUUGCCUGCCAUGUAGUAAAAAUCUCCAGCUUCUUUCCUGAAACCCUGAUAGCCUUGAUGGCCAGAGGUCUCACUAGCCAUUGCUGCCGCUGCAGCAGCUGUUCCUCGUCGACCGCUACUGCUGCUGCCAGUGCCACUACUACCACCACCUGCUCCCCCAAAAUUCUGGAACAUCUGGGCCUGGCGAGGGCUGAACUCUUCUAUGCGGGAUGAGCUGUGCACCUCCUGUGGGUAGCUCUGCUGGUUUCCGUGGUAACUGCUUUGCUCCCGAAACGACUGCAUACUGUUCAGCAGCACAGCAGCAGGCCAGCAGCCCUCCUAGAAAGGGAAAAAAAGAAAAAGCAUGAGACAUGCAUCUGCUUGACACAAAGAUCAAGCCUAGAUAAAUAACUCAGUGACCAGAUAAAGCUGAUUGCUUAAAUUCCAUCUCCUUUUUCUAUCAAUUUCUAAUAAUGCAAGUAAGCAGAUAAAUGGUCUAAAGAAUGAAGGAAUCUGUAAUACAACAAAGAAAAUACUAGGAAUACACAAACACAUUCAAUAUAGUCUUUAAAAACUUCAUUAGAUAAAUGAGUCUUACAAAUUCAACUGGAGUAAAUAUUGGAAUGUUAUUACAAACAAAGACAUUUUUUAAAUAAAUCUUUAGUUACUGUGGGGUGACAAAAGCUCUUUUAAUUUAAGCUGAGGAGCCUCAGAUAAUGACGGAGCAGUUGUUUCAGGAGGUGUCCAAGACUACUCCAAUCACUCCAAGACAAAGACCCAUCCUGAGAACCAAAGCUAGUUCCUCAAAAUCGCCUGCUUAUGGUGACUAGUGACUCUGGGACACUCAACUUGGUAUUACUAUGGAUUCCUUAUACUGUAGUCACCUAUAAGUCAGAUCUGACUGCUUCUUGACAUAAAAUUGUCUUCAAAGUACCUCUCUUGACCACCUAAUUCAGAGCCACCAAGAGCAAGAGACCACAAAAGAGUAGUUAUAAGGUCCAGGACUUUGAGUCUACACAUUCCAGUCCCAGUUGUGGACUGUUCUCUCCAGCCUGGUUUGGAAAGCUGGUGACCUCACUUUUAUUGAAAACUAGUAUUAACUUUUGUUGUCUUUCUGUCAUCAUCUAAGAGCAUUAUUCUCUCCAAUGCAUUCGGUUUUUGGUUUUGUUUUGUUUUUUUUUAAGAUUGAUUGAUUGAUUGAUUGAUUUAAUAUGAGUACACUGUAGCUGUCUUCAGACACUCCAGAAGAGGGCGUCAGAUCCCAUUACAGAUGGUUGUGAGCCACUAUGUUGUUGUUGGGAAUUGAACUCAGGACCUCUGGGAGAGCAGUCAGUGCUCUUAACUGAUGAGCUAUCUCUCCAGCCCAGCACCCAGUUCUUUAAAGAACCCUCGAUGCCUCAGGAAAAAACUUUCUGCUGGGAUGUCUCCAUGGAAGUAGAAUCCUGCCAUUCCCCACCUGAUGUAGUCCCACCUUUCUGACAUUGUCAUUAGGUUAUUUGUGUUGUCUGUUACACUACAGGAGAGUAUGACUCCAGGUAGAGGAUACAGUAACAGGUCAUGAGUUUUGAUUCUGGGAAAAUGUUUAAUGCAUUAGUACAAAACCCACAACAAUUAAGACAAGGAAUAAGGCUGUGUUGCUCAUUAAUAAUUCUUGCCUAGAAGAGAAACCCAGCUGGAAAUUACCCGCUGAGCCAUCUCACCAGCCCUCUCCAACCCAAUCUUUUCUCCCCCAAAGACCCCUGAAGAAUCUUCAAGAAAGUUUCUACCUUUCCAAGUAGAUUUAGCUAUUGCUAUUGAUCUAUUGCCAGAAUGACAGAAUACAUUCCUGUUUAAACAACAGCAAAAAAGUUUCAGUCCUCAAGUUAAUAAUUCUAUUUAGACCCCCUGUGAGGAUAUACUAACUGACCUCUAGGCUCCGCUCCACAGAGAAAACAGACAGGCUCUACCAUCCUCUGGCUUCUGGACCAGUUUGGAAGUAGGGAACAAAAUUUACUCUCCUGGCCCUGACUAGGCAAUUUUUGAGGCUGGUAAAGACUCUGCUAACAAGCUCUGUCAGAUGUUUGGCAAUUUAAACAUUUAGCCAUUUUCUCUGAGCUCGGAAAUUACUUCUUGCCCUUAAGCUCAGGAGGUAUUAACAACUCCCCAUGAAUACCAGGCCAGAAGAUGCUAAUCUCCCAGUUUGGUUAUCCUUCUGCAUGGCUGUCCACAUCCCUUUCUACAUGCUCAGCAGAUCAGGAGCUGGAGCUGGGGCUGGGAGUGGUACUACAGGGGGUUAAAGUGUACAAAGAGAGACUAGAAAGAAGAAAAAGAGAGGCUGAUAUUCCCUGGAGGCAACUGCAGCUGACACAGACUCCCAACAGCUCCCCCACAAACUCCCAAGAAUAUGUACUAUGAUGACCAGAUCAUCAACAGCCUGACAGGCUUUCCCAAUCCCGGUUCUUCCCAUAUUGAACCAAUCCUUAUUCUUAUUGGUAUUACAAAUAAGUUUUAAUAAAUUCCUUAUACAAAUU